rfam:Gemmatimonadetes bacterium RBG_16_66_8 RBG_16_scaffold_26569, whole genome shotgun sequence.
GCCCGGGUGGCGAAACCGGUAGACGCAAGGGACUUAAAAUCCCUUUGGAGGCGACUCCAGUGCAGGUUCGAAUCCUGCCCCGGGCA